AGCAGCCGCGGGAACACCGGCGGCCCGAGUGGUGAUCGUGAUUAUUGGGUCUAAAGGGUCCGUAGCCGGUUUGGUCAGUCCUCCGGGAAAUCUGAUAGCUCAACUAUUAGGCUUUCGGGGGAUACUGCCAGACUUGGAGCCGGGAGAGGUAAGAGGUACUACAGGGGUAGGAGUGAAAUCUUGUAAUCCCUGUGGGACCACCUGUGGCGAAGGCGUCUUACCAGAACGGGUUCGACGGUGAGGGACGAAAGCUGGGGGCACGAACCGGAUUAGAUACCCGGGUAGUCCCAGCCGUAAACGAUGCUCGCUAGGUGUCAGGCAUGGCGCGACCGUGUCUGGUGCCGCAGGGAAGCCGUGAAGCGAGCCACCUGGGAAGUACGGCCGCAAGGCUGAAACUUAAAGGAAUUGGCGGGGGAGCACAACAACGGGUGGAGCCCUGCGGUUUAAUUGGACUCAACGCCGGACAACUCACCGGGGGCGACAGCAAUAUGUAGGCCAAGCUGAAGACUUUGCCUGAAUCGCUGAGAGGAGGUGCAUGG
rnacentral:rRNA from 1 species